AUGUUGACUUAUAAAGACUAGAUGGGUCAUCAUAGUUGUGCUGAAAUGACAAAAGUAAAAAAACUGUCGCCAUCAUGUUUGUAAUGAAAAGAAAUAAUUUUAAGAUGCUCCAACAACGGUCAGAUAUUCUUACAAGGCCACUUCUGUAAUGACAAAUACAAAGUUUACUUUGUUAAGUUCCAGAAUGUAGUAUGGUUGUGGGGGAGCAGAUGAUAUUUAGCUUUUCAAGUGUCUCUUCUGAAGGGCUGAACUGGAAGGAUCUGUAGAAUGAGGUGGUCAUAUAAUAGAGUAUGUUGGUGAAGAUUUUCUAGUUAUUUAAGGUGGCUAGGCAGGAUAUAAUCUAGGAAGGAAAACUGUCGUUUUUGUGGCCAGUAUUUAUCUAUGUUAAAGAAGAACAUCUGGAGUUCAAUAUGAAGUGUGCAACUAUUCUGGAGGAUAUAAAAGGGUAGUCAGAUGACAAUCUCUAUAAUGUCUCUUCAUGAGAUGCUUCUUGGUGUCAUGAAAAGGUGUAGAGAGAGAGAGAGAGAGCCAUUCCUUGUAUCUAAUUUGGAUCCUGUAUUUGUUUUCUCUUGUGUUUGAGCUUCUUGUAAGUGCUUUUCUUAGGUUCCUGUCUCACGAUGCUUUUGUGAGGUUUUGUAACCUUUUUUGAUGGUCACUCUUGUUCUAUUAACUUAAUUGUAUCUUGAAGUGUAUUCUUAUACAUGCUAUUCUGGCUAUCCAUUAAUUUAAAUUUUUGAUGUAGCUAGUGAAGAUCACUGGCACCUCAUUUAUUUCGGAGUAUCUGUUGCACCUGCAUUUCUUAUUUAAUUUUAAAGAUCAUACUGUUUUCUUGCUGAUGCAAUCAUAUUUUCCAAUUCUCAUGUACCUUGUUUCUUGUAAUGGAUUGUUCGUUUAUUCAAUUGUAAAGAUCACACUCUUCCCAUUUGGUACGUUGUAAGAGUUGCCAUAACUGACUGGCUUAGCCUGAUGCCCUUUAUUAGAAGUCAGCCUCCAGAGUCCUUUUUCUUGCAUUCAUUCUACAAAGGGGUAGUCCCAUAGCUCGUGUGUUUUUCUAGACCUGUUUAAUACAUCCAUUAAGGUCUUAUAGCUUGCAUCUCUUUCCUUCUUUCUUUUCGGAUCUUAAACUUUCUCUUUACUAUCACAACGUGUAGUUUUUGUUGCAUAUAAACCAUACCUUUUGAAUCAGUUCAUUAUUUUUAUGUCUUUCGAUGCAUGGCUCAAAUUAUUUCUCUUUGUGUUCAUUACUUCAUUCACCCACAUAUCAAUCUCAACAAUGU
rnacentral:lncRNA from 1 species